UACAGAGGUCUCAAGCGUUGUUCGGAUUUAUUGGGCGUAAAGGGUGUGUAGGCGGCAGAUCAAGUUAGAUGCGAAAUACCCGGGCUUAACUCGGGAACUGCAUUUAAUACUGCUCUGCUCGAGUAUUAGAGAAGAAGCUGGAAUUUACGGUGUAGCAGUGAAAUGCGUAGAUAUCGUAAAGAACGUCAGUGGCGAAAGCGAGCUUCUAGAUAAUUACUGACGCUGAGGCACGAAAGCUAGGGGAGCAAACGGG
rnacentral:rRNA from 1 species